rnacentral:lncRNA from 1 species
AUGAUCUGUGAACGUUUGUUGAAAGAACGUGAAGAGAAAGUUCGAGAAGAAUAUGAAGAAAUAUUGAACACAAAACUUGCAGAACAAUAUGAUGCGUUUGUGAAGUUUACGCAUGAUCAAAUAAUGCGACGAUAUGGAGAACAGCCUGCUAGUUGUAAGUAUUUCACCUUUGAAGUUAUAAACUGAAAAUAAGAUUGUCUUUUAAGGAGAAGACAUUAUAAUUAUUUUCAUACUCAAAAAGAGAAUUCAACAAAAUUA